CCGCUGAAGUGUUCCCUCCUCUUCUUCCUCCUCUUGCUGAGUCCGCCAGCUAACGCGGACUGGAACUCUCCCGGAAGAAUGAAAGAACGCUUCUACUGGGAAAAUUUUGUAAAGGUCAGUUUGCAGGCUUUUAGUUAAGGCAACUGAAUUGUAGUUUGUUAGAAGUGUCUCAAACUAUUGAAGAGAAAUUGUCAUCAAAUUAUACUUUUUAUUGGAAUCGAGUCUUCAAAAUCAGGGGUGGAUUUUAUACCUACAGCACAUGUCAAUUCAGAUUAGCCCUAUUUCAAGUACUCAUGUGGCUAUGUGAAGGUCUAGGAUAUGCCUUUCCUAGAAGAAGUUAACCGGGAGGCCAAGAUAAUAAUCAGAAGACUCUCUGGUAUUCCCAUAGCCCUAAUCCUCUGAAGCUGUGAUUUGGCUUGCAAGAGGAAAGAAGUCUUCAUCACUGGCCUGGAUGGAGCAGCCUGUGAUUAGAAAACCCUUUCACCCUCUGCUACUUGCGCCUGGGACUGCAAGACCCUGUGGAAUGAGCUGUUCAGGUUUUCCUGGGAUGAGAGAUGAAAACCACCAGCACUUGUCUUGUUAAAACUAAACAGUCAAAAGUAGCCUCAUAUGUUCCUUGGAAGACAUCUACCCUCUCUGACUGGAAGUAUUUCACAAAAGAGUCCCCACAUCUCAAGCUCUGAAAUAGGAAUUGUGUGCCUGGAGGUGACUUCAUUAAUCCACCUGGUUCUCUCUUCCAUCCCCCAGCCGAUCUCUGCUCUUGUAUCUGCCUAUCCUUCUGACUUGGCACUGGACCCAGGGGGCUGACACAGACUCAUUGAGGUGAAUGGCUGCUCAUACACCCACCU